UUGGGCAAAUUCAAAUUCCAAAAUAGAAGAUAGCUAGCAAACCCAGAAGACAUUGGCUUAUACGCAUUCUUCCACAGAACAACGAAAAUGAAGAGUGAAGAAUGGAGAGAAUAAUUUUGGGCAGUUAACAUGAAAGUUGGAUAUGGAGAGAAAUGGGAGAAGAGGAAUUUUACAAUGUGAAACAAAAUUUACAGUUUCUUACAGUGCUGGAGGCUGGGAAGUUCAAGAUCAAGGAACCAGCAAAUUUGAUGUCUGAUGAAGACGUGUGUAAAGAUCAUCCAGUGUCUCUACCAGUGUCAUGGUGCAAUGAAGAAUGCUCCAGGCCACAAUCUCAGGCUGAAGGAGGAGGAGAGACUCUUUUCAUUUCAAAGAGCUCUCGAACUUCUCUCCAAAUCUCC